GGGGCAGAGAUGUCUUCCAAACCUGGUAUUGAGGAAAAGGACCACAGGACUACCUCAGGAAAGAAGAUACAACUUGGGAGAAGAUACAAACUUGGGAGGUUGGUCUGCAUUUUCUCUCUCCAAAGCUUUUUGAAGAAGAUAUGAAUAUCUUCAUAUUAGAUAUAUAUAUGUGAAUAUCUGGAACUCUGUCACCUGGACACUUUCUUUCCUUUACAGGGAUCUUUCUUGCAAGUGAAAUAUUAGAAGCUAGUGAAAUCAUUCCAGUGCACCCACGCCAAGUGGGUGGAAGAGAGAGAUUUAAUAGCAGGAUGAGACAAAAGGAUACGCAGCAGGCCUGAAAGGUCCUUCCUCUCCUGAGUAGUCCCCAUCAAGCCAAUGGGUAAAUGUCUGCAGAAGAGGACCACACUGAAGUUCUGUUGGUCUUCUGGACGUGGUAAUCUGGACAUUCUGGUUACAGAAUAGAAGCAUGGAAGCACAGGAUACACAGGAUGUUCUGCACAAACAUACUGGGAAAAGCCAAUGUUUCCAAAAUGUGUGGGACUUCUAUUAUGUGUGAAGAGCAGCUAUGAAACACUUGUUCAGGCUUCUCUGAUAUGGCUCAGAAAACUGAGAUCUACCUGCCAGACCCAAUGUGAACCUAAGUGCUCUGAGCCUGUCACCUUGUGCAGCCAUGAGAACCUGGAACUCCACGUCCUAGGGUCGCUCCAGUGCUCCACAUUUUGUUAUAUAUGAUAAAUCAAAUGACAGUCCUAAACCAAGAUAUUUAUAUCCUGUGCCUCACUGAAGCAGAGCGCUGUGCCGAAUUUCAUGGAUCCCACAAACUUGCAUGGAUGUGAGCAGGCAGAAUUUGGCCUUGACCAACAAACUGUGAAGCUGAAUCAGCCCUUUUUCCUUCCAGUCCUUCACAACUUUGUCCACGGGAUGGCUUCUGCUGUUCUGUUCCUCAUCCAGCCAGCAUGGCUUUC
rnacentral:lncRNA from 1 species